GGUGGCUCAGUGUUAGAGCACUUGCCUUGCAUGCAUAAGGCUCUGGGUUCGAUUCCUCAGCACCA
rnacentral:tRNA from 1 species